CUACGGGGGGCUCCAGUGGGGAAUAUUGCACAAUGGGCGCAAGCCUGAUGCAGCCAUGCCGCGUGUAUGAAGAAGGCCUUCGGGUUGUAAAGUACUUUCAGCGGGGAGGAAGGGAGUAAAGUUAAUGCCUUUGCUCAUUGACGUUACCCGCAGAAGAAGCACCGGCUAACUCCGUGCCAGCAGCCGCGGUAAUACGGAGGGUGCAAGCGUUAAUCGGAAUUACUGGGCGUAAAGCGCACGCAGGCGGUUUGUUAAGUCAGAUGUGAAAUCCCCGGGCUCAACCUAGGAACUGCAUCUGAUACUGGCAAGCUUGAGUCUCGUAGAGGGGGGUAGAAUUCCAGGUGUAGCGGUGAAAUGCGUAGAGAUCUGGAGGAAUACCGGUGGCGAAGGCGGCCCCCUGGACGAAGACUGACGCUCAGGUGCGAAAGCGUGGGGAGCAAACAGGAUUAGAUACCCUUGUAGUC
rnacentral:rRNA from 1 species